AUCUUAGUUGGGCAAACCCGGAGAAAUCCGGCGACGCAAAACUACAGGGGCCGAAAGGCCAGCCAGUUGCAAUC
rnacentral:ncRNA from 1 species